GGUGCUGCUGUAGGAGAGGGUGCUGCUGUAGUAGAGGGUGCUGCUGUAGUAGAGGGUGCUGCUGUAGUAGAGGUGCUGCUGUUAUAGAGGGUACUGCUGCUGUUGCUGUUGGUGCUGUUGCUGUGAGUAAUGGGUCGGUCAGAGCUCUGAUAUUAUUACAGCUCCUGCCUUCUGCCUGUGUGGGAGAGAUCUCUGACUGUGUGAGUGCAUUGGACUCUGGUGGAGCUCUAUGGGAAUGAGAGACAUGAGGCAGAAAGAGAGA